UUUUUUAUAAGUAAUCAAAACUAACAGUGGAACAAAUAUAAAUAUACAACCUUCCCAAGACUGGUAGUACUGAGUCACGAACUCUAACUGAAUUCAUGGAAUGAUCACGAGGACCGAAUAUACAAUACUUUUUGAUUAAAAAUUAACAGUACAAUGAAAUGAAAAGACUCCAAGGGACUGCGACGACCAAGCAGCUCUACUUUGAAUCCUUACGAUCCCGCUUUAACUCUGCCCAAGCCCGAUAUCUCCAAUACCUUGCUCUGCACAAAAAUGUGCAGAAGUGUAAUAUGAGUACACCACGGUCGGUACCCAGUAAGUAUCAAGACUAACCUGUGCAAUAUAAUAUACAAAAUAAUAGGAAACAAAUAACAUCAAGGCAAUACAAAACAACCAAUGAUAUGCACAGUAAGACAAUAAAAUCACCAUUUAAUAUCGCUCAAUAAUUAAUAAAUACAAUUACACCCAGUUAAAUCAUCCUCAUUAUUUACUCACGAUACCUCGUGCCCACAUUUUAUUUUAUAAUCCGCAUGGCAAUAGCCACAGGCUCUCGAUUUCAACAUAAAUAAGAUUGCUAUCAAUUUACCAACAACAAAACAAAUUGUACAAGGUAUAAAAAUAAAUACAAGAAAAUCACAAUAUCACAUAAAAUUCAUCAACACUGCAACCCCACAUCAUCACAUAUCGUCUUUGACAAUAGCCACCAUUAUCGCUCAUAUUGCCACCCUUAUCGCUCCUAUAGCCACCCUUAUCGUUCCGCCCAAACAAUAUCAAUAGUCACCCUUAUCUCUCCUAUAGCCACCCUUAUCACUCCGCCCAGACAAUAUUCCAACAAACACAACAAUAGUGAAAUGCCACCCUUAUACCCACAUAAUAGCAACGGUGAAAUGCCACCCUUAUAUCCUCAAAAUAAUAACUCAUACAAUACAACAAUUUAUACGGGAAAUUAUCACGGCAACAUAACAAAAUCAAUUCAUAUCACAAUUUGCCCAAUGACCAUAACCAAAUUUCAAAGAUACAACCAAAUCAAUUAAUCUCACAACAAAUGGCCGAAGGCUCCACACAAUGUGUAUAACACCACAAAAAUAACCAACAUAGAUAGAAAUUAUUCAGCAUAAAACAAAGCCUUCAAUAAUCCAAAUUCAGGUAAUUAUGUUACACAUCUUCUUAAGCUUGCUUAAUUAAUUAUUUGCAUAGGAAAAAUUCAUAAUAAAAACUAAAUUCCAAGAACAUAAACCAUCAAACUCACGGAAUUCACAUAGAUAUACAAGUAAUAAUUACAUCAAAUUAUCAUAUAUAAAAAUUCAAUAAAUGUGAUUUUAGGCAUGACAACUAGAUAAUUAAAUAUAUGCCAACAAUUAUCCAAUUUAUUACACAAUAUUCCCAAGACUUUAACUCAAUAAAUUUUGUACAUAUAAACCCGAGUACGUACUCGUCACCUUGCGUACUCGGCUUUUCACAUUUUAUAAAUGGCACAUAAGACUCGAUGCCUAAGGGGUAAUUCCCCCCUCAAGGUUAAGCAACACACUUACCUUUUUGAAGUUAGGCCAAUAUUUCAAAAUAGCCCUCUUGCUUGAAUUGAUCUCCGGACAGCUCAAAUCUAUCCAAAUUAAUUGUAUAACUUCAUUAAAAUUCAUCGGAAACAAUUCCGGAUAAUAAUUCGUCGACUUAAAAUUUUAUUCCAAAAAGUCAACAAAAGUCAACGUGGGGCCUACCCUCGGAACUCGACAUAAUUUUCAUGAAAUACGAACACCCAUUCUAAUACGAGUUUAACCAUACUAAUUUUAUCGGAUUCCAAUAACAACUCGACCUCCAAAUCUUAAAUUUUCAUUUUUGGAAAGGUUUACAAAUAAUCUUGAUUUUCCUUCUUUAAAAUCCGAAUUAAAUGAUGGAUUCAAAGGUAUAAUCAUAGAAAUUAAUCAAAGCUGGAUAAGAAUCACUUACCCCAAACACCCACGCGAGAAUCUCUCUAAAAAUCGCCUUCUACCGAGCUCCCAAUUUGAUUUUGUGUUAUGAACUCAAACCCCUAUUUUAGAGACUUUUAAUUCUGCCUAGUUGACUACGCAUCGCGAUCGCGAAGAAGAGAAUUGAGGCUGCCACGAAAGACCCUUCGCGAUCGCGAGUAAAGGGACGAGAACACGAUGAACAAUAGGCAGGAGCUUACGCGAACGCAGGGCAAUUGAUGCGAACGCGAAGAAGAAAUAGCCAACGGCCCCCAGCUCCUAAUUUCUUCUACGCGAACGCGAAUAGAGAGUUGCGAACGUGAAGAAGGGAAAAGCAGAAGUACGCGAUCGAGGAAGUAAGCUCGCAAACGUGAAGGACAAAUAAUUCCCCUUCCAAAAUAACACUACGCGAAUGCGAAUUGGGGGACGCGAACGCGAACGCGAUGAAGGAAAUGUGUAGAGCUACGCGAUCGCGAGGCGUAUUAUGUGAAUGCGAAGAAGGAAAUUGAGGCAAUCAGCAGAGACACUUCGCGAACGCAGAAGGAUCUUUGCGAUCGCGAAGAAGGAUAUCAGACACCAGAACCAGCAGUUCAAAAAUAGAAGGAAAUGGUCCGUAGCCCAUCCGAAACACACCCGAGGCCCUUGGGACCCUGUCUAAACAUACCCACAAGUUCCAUAACCUAACACGGACUCACUCGAGGUCUCAAAUUACAUCAAAUAACAUCUAAAUCAUGAAUCGCACUCCAAUUCAAACUUAAUGAAUUUUAAAACUUUAACUUCUACAAUCGAUUGCGAAACCUAUCAAAUCACGUCCGAUUGCCCUCAAAUUUUGUACACAAGUCAUAAUUGACAUUACAGACCUACUCCAACUUCCAGAAUCGGAUUCUGACCUAGAUAUCAAAAAGUCCACUUCCGGUCCAAAUCUCCAAAAAUUUAACUUUUCCCAUUUCAAGCCUAAAUCAACUACGGACCUCAAAUUCACAGUCCGGACAUGCUCCUAAGUCCAAAAUCACCAAACGGAGCUAACGGAACCGACAUAAUCCAUUCCGGAGUCGUUUUCAUACAAUUACGACUACGGUUAAAAUUCUAAGACUUAAGCUUCCGUUUUAGGGACUAAGUAUCCCAAAUCACUCCGAAUCAUCCGUAAACCAAACUCGACCACACCCGCGGGUCAUAAUGCAUAUUUUGAGGCUGCUCGAGACCUUAAGCCACUGAACGGGACAUAAAUUCUUAAAAUGACAAGUCGGAUCGUUACACGAUCCAUCCUUAAAGCUUAGGGGAGAUGUUGGUGAGCUUCUACCGGAUCCAACAGUAUAUCACCGGUUAUUGAAAAAGCUUAAUUUUUUACCUAACACCUAGCCAGAUCUUUCAUUUGUCAUUCAACACCUCAGUCAAUACAUGCAGAGUCCUAACCGACCUUAUUUCGAUGCAACCAUUCAUUGUCUCCGAUAUCUACUUUCUACUCCUGAUAUAAGACUCUUCCUGAACUCGGAUCCUUCACUACAAUUAUUGGCAUUUUGUGACUCCGACUGGGCUUCUUGCCCCGAUUCGGGCCAAUCAGUUAGCGGGUUUUACAUUAGUCUCGGUAGUUCUCCUAUUUCUUGGAAGUCCAAGAAAUAAUCUUUGAUAUCUCUUUCCUCCGCCGAGGCCGAAUAUCGAUCUAUGAGGCGUGUAGUAGCAGAAUUACUUGGCUUGUUCGACUCCUUACAGAUCUAUCAAUUUCUCCGUCACUGCCCAUUUCCCUUUAUUCCAAUAGCCAAGCAGCAAUCCACAUAGCCAAAAAUCCCAUUUUUUACGAAAAGACUAAGCAUGUGGAUUUGGACUGCCAUUUUGUUCGACAACAGUUCUUGGCCGGCUUAAUUUCACUCACUUUUGUUCCUUCUAAAUCUCAGAUCGUUGAUGUCUUCACCAAGCCGCUCACUGGACCUCUUCAUCACUCCAUUCUUCCCAAGUUGGGUGUGCUUCCUUAGCCCUCCAACUUGGGGGAGGUAGGAGGGGUGUUGGCACCAAAAAUCUUAAAGAGACUCAUUUACAGAAGAUGGAAAGAUUAGGCUCAGAGAGAGAAGAGAAGAGUAUGCUAUCAGACCAAACAAAUGAAAUGAAGCAAAGACACAAAGACUAAAUCUUUAAGCCUCUCACGCGUAUGAAUGCACAAACCAAUCAGAAUCCUUUAUCACAAAAUAAGGAAUUUUAUCUGGCACCUACACGUGUUAAUUUGAGUACAGAUGAUUUUCAUAAUAGGAAGAAACCACAACUUUCUAGAACCAUAUUAGCUGGAUAAUAAUAUUAUAAAUAUAUUUUUCAUUUAUUAUUCUUUCAUUAGUUUGUUAGGCUUAAGUGAAUAAGAGAAGAACACGUGGAGAAAAUUAGUUAUAGAGAUUCUUCUCUUUGUUGUAUAUAACGGGACACUGUACAAAUACAAAAUUCAUUCAUUGAAAAGGAAUUUUUUUUUACAUCUCUUCACGGAGCCCCGAGAAACAGGAUGGUGUUGUAGUAAUAGUGAAGUGGUGGUGAUAGCAGCGCAAUAGAUGAACUCUAGUGCAAAACGCCAUGGGAUUAGAUUGUGAAAAUUGGUUUUGAGGGUUAUGUGUGUGUAAUUUUAUGUCAUAGAAGCUGAAGAAGCUCAGCUAUGGUGGGGAGAAGCGGAGCUUGGGGAAGAGAUGAAAUAAGGGUUAAAUUCGUUUAGGAUUUUUUAAGUGGGGCAAUUUGAGUCGGGUAAUGGGUAAUUUUUAAGUGAAUGGGGUAUUUAAAAUUUUUGGGGUGGGUCUUUUUGUUACAAAUCUGACACGUGUCAUUCCGUCCAAAGUAAGUGUAUUUUUGAACCAAAGUAUAAUAGUAGGAACACAAAUAUACUACUAGUAAAACGGAGGAUAAAUUUAAAUAAUUUUUGAUAGUAGAGUGAUAUAUUUGACCCUUUACCAGUUUGACUUCAACUUCUCAGAAAAUCCAUUUUUUCCGGCUUGAAUAUGGUUUGAGAAAGAUGAGAGAAUUUUGAGGGUUUUGGUGGCUUCUUCCAUUGUUGGAGAGCUUUGGUUGGGGAAAUGGGUGUUUUCGGUCUCCAUGUAAGCUGCUUACUUUCAAACUAGAUUCAAGCACCAAUAAUGGUCCGGUGUUGGUCUCCAUUUUCAGCUAGCAAAAGUUUUCCGGUGAGCUAAUGGAGGUUGGUCUGCAGUAAAAGUUCGCACGGGAGGUUGCAGGCAUUAGAGAGUGUGGUUUGCACUUCUUUAUUAAAUAGAAGUAUGGUUGGCCGAAGAAGGUGAAAUUUAUUACAUUUCAUACAAAUAUAAGGGGUCAUAUUUUGAAACUAACGUGUCUAUUUUCUGAUUUUAUGAUGAUGUUAUUAUUUUUAUGGUAUCUGUUAUUGGUACUGAUAUAUUGUCUUUUUUCGUGUUUUUUGUUUUCUUGAGCCGAUGGUCUUUCGGAAACAACCUCUCUCUCCAUCGAGAUAGAAGUAAGAUCUCCGUACAUACUACCCUCCCUAAACCUCUCACCUGCGAGAUUUUACUCAAUUGUUGUUUUAACCGAUAAAGUGGGACAAACCAAGGGGAUAAUUAUGUAUUAUCCAUAUAAUGUUUGGAGUAAAAUUUGGAUGAAUGCUUUAGCCCCUUGUUCCUCCGUGUUUAGACUACUCUAUUUUGGAUGGAGUCCAAUAAUGAAGUUGGGUUCCACUUGUUGAACCUUUUUUAUUAGGAACUUUUACCUACGUUAUAAACUUAUUUAUUGUUUUUAAAAAUGUUAGUAGUUAAUUAUGUAGUUUGUAUACAUAUUUAUUAUUUAUAUAUAAAAUAAUGUAUUAGACUCCAAUUUUUCUUAUUUUCUCUCUCCAUCUUCCCCAUUUUUUCUCUCCUCAUUAAAAGUAUAGUCGAAUUCCCAACUGUAUUUACGCAAAAUUCACUGUUAAAGCUUCAUCAUCUUCAAUCUCUAAUAGUUACCUAUUCAAAUAAGUAAUUUUACAUAAAAUUACGUUGAAACUCAAGCUAACAUCCACUUUGUUUGCUAGAGUUUUCAUAUCAUCUCCAAUGGCUUUAUUAGCUUGAUCUUUUACUCUAACCAUAAACUCUAUAACAAUUGUGAUAUUUAAGAUGGUAGGUUCAUUAUCUGUUCCAAACAAAUAACAAUUUCGUCAUUGGCAGCUACUAAAAGAUUCGAAGCUUUAAAUUUAAAAAUUAGGUAUAGCGAAAUUAUUAGUUGUUUGGAUUAGGAUUAAUAAUAUUUGGGAAUAUCUUUUGGAGUUUAAAUCUCAAUUUUAAGAAUAUUUGGUGAAUGUUUGAGUUGAUUUUAGUUUAAACUUCGUAUUGAAACUCGAAAAAAAAAGACGUAAAUAUAUAUAUUUUAAAUUUUUUGUAUGCCAUGUAUACAAAUAACAUAUAAGAUAUAUACAACCAACAUAGUUGUAUUAUGUUGUACAUAAA
rnacentral:lncRNA from 1 species